UCGGGAAACCGGAGCUAAUACCGGAUAAUAUAUUGAACCGCAUGGUUCAAUAGUGAAAGACGGUUUUGCUGUCACUUUAUAGAUGGAUCCGCGCCGCAUUAGCUAGUUGGUAAGGUAACGGCUUACCAAGGCAACGAUGCGUAGCCGACCUGAGAGGGUGAUCGGCCACACUGGAACUGAGACACGGUCCAG
rnacentral:rRNA from 1 species